CAAAAGUUUAAAAAUACAACACAAAAAAUGUGUAUCAACGACAAACUAAAAACACAAAAUGGUUGCUGAAGAAACCAUAUGCAAGCAAUUACUGUUGACAAUCUCUCC